UAGGGAAUAUUGGGCAAUGGAUGCAAGUCUGACCCAGCCAUGCCGCGUGCCGGAUGAAGGCCCUCAGGGUUGUAAACGGCUUUUAUUCGGGAAGAAGAGCACGGAUGCGUCUGUGUGUGACGGUACCGAAUGAAUAAGCACCGGCUAACUCCGUGCCAGCAGCCGCGGUAAUACGGAGGGUGCGAGCGUUGUCCGGAUUUAUUGGGUUUAAAGGGUGCGUAGGUGGCUUUUAAGUCAGCGGUGAAAUACAGCCGCUCAACGGUUGAGGUGCCAUUGAUACUGAAAAGCUUGAAACAAGUGAGGCUGCCGGAAUGGAUGGUGUAGCGGUGAAAUGCAUAGAUAUCAUCCAGAACACCGAUUGCGAAGGCAGGUGGCUACGUUUGAUUUGACACUGAGGCAC
rnacentral:rRNA from 1 species